CCUAUCUUAUCCCCUUUCUCUCCUCGUUGACUCACUCACAAGACCUCACAUCCGACGCGAGUGGAGGCCAUGCGCGGAUGCGCCGGCGUCGAGGAGCACAUCCGCGGUGGUUUUGGACGGGCGGUGCCAUUCCAGUGGCUUGCGGCGGCGAAGCUCAGGCGGGCCGCUACGGGGAGGAACUCCACCGGACGAAAUCGAGGCGUCAUGGGCGGGCGAUUUGGGCCGGCAGCGCCGUUCCCGUGCCUGGCGCCGGCGGAGCCGAGGCGGCCCGCUGCGGAGAGUAGCUCCACCGAGCUAUCUCACGACGGAGGCCAUGCGUGGGCUCGACGAGGCGUGAUGCACGGGCGAUUUUGGGCGGGCGGCGCAGUCCCCGUGCCUGGCGCCAAUGGAGGCGAGGCGGGUUGCUACGAAGAGGAGCUCCACCGGGGUGUCGCGCGACGGAGGCGGGCCGGCGCGGCGGAGGCGGGGGCUCGCCACAGAUGCUUCCACCUCGCUGCCGUCGUCGUCCUGCUUCCUGGGUCUCCUCCGAGCUUGCCAUCAUCGCCCAAGGUGAGCGGUGCUUUACAUACCACCCUUGUGUAGAUAGAAGAACUUCUCCACCGACGACGACUCAAUUUCUGCCUCGUUAGUCUCUGGCAAAUCACUGACGGAUAGAAGCAGCGGUCGUGGAGUUGAGUCCAGUCAGUAGCACUAGCGCUAGUUCCUUCCAUGAUCCUGUAGGCCGCGAGGUGUGUCUGGUGAAGCUGGAAUUGCAGAAGCUUUUCACAUGAGUUAGCCUGAAUGUGUUAGUUCGUCAUGUUUGUUCUAAAGCAGCCGCUGUUGUAGUUCAGAUAUAUACAAUCUUUGUUCAGUUGUAGCUGAAGAAGAAGAGAGGGUUAGUAAUUCGGAGUAGUACUCAGUACUUUAUAGAACUUUGUUGUGAAGGAAAUGAAUCAACAAUAUCUGCGUGUUGCUCCAGUUCAACUCGUCCACAACACUUUUACUAUAGUUCGUUAUCAAAUGAACCCUAACUAGUAGUAGUACAAUACAGAGUUGGGUCUCUGAGAAUCUGAUUGUUAGGUUGUCAUGUGAGCUUACGGGGCUGGAGAUUUGGUGGUUGUCAUGUUGUCCAACGAUGCUAGUAUGAUUCAGAUACUCGCGCCCGUAGCUCAAAUGUCACUCAAUUUUGCCAUGUCACUUGCACAUUUUUGUACACAGUUUUGUUUGAAUUUUUAGUUCAAUCUUCUCAAUGUUGCCAUGCAAUGUCCCAACGAUGACAACCGAUAAUUGCUAUGAGUAGUUGCCAUGGCAACAUUCUGCAGUAAUUGUGAUGGCAAGUUUCUGUAAUAGUCGCCAUGGGCAGAAUUUCUACGAGUGGUUGCCAUGGCAAAAUUUUCUGUAGUAGUUGCCAUGGGCAGUAUCCAUACAAGUAGUUGUUAUGGCAAAUUUGUUUGGGACAAUGGCAAACUUUUUUAUCAUGGCAAAAAUGGUUAGUGAAUUUGCCAUGGCAAAUUCACUUGAUGUCCCACGGCAAAUUCACUUUAUUGUCUGUGACAAGUUUCUUUUUUUAAGAUCAUGUUAAACUUCUUUUACAAACCAUGACAUUUUUCUGACAAACCAUGGCAAAUCUAUUUAAUUGGAAUAGAUUUUCCAUACUACAUGGCACUUUUUUCCCCGGAACAUGGCAAUUCCUUUUUAUGAAGCAUGGCAAAUUUAGUUAAAUGGAUUUUUUUUCUAUUGAGUACAAAAUUGUCAUAGCACAUGCAAUUGAUUUGCCGUACUACAUGGCAAUUUCCCCCCUCCACCUUCGCAAGUUUAUUUUACGAACCAUGGAAAAAAUUAGAUAACUGAAAUAGAUUUUGCCAUACUACAUGGCAAAAAAAAACCUGACCAUGGCAAUUAUAUUUUAUGAAGUAUGGCAAAUUCAGUAAAAUUGAAUAGAUUUGACAUAUUACAUGGCAUUUUUUCCCCAUCCACCAUGGCAAGUUUAUUUCUAAGAACCAUGGCAAAUUUAGUUAUUUGAAACAGAUUUGACAUACGACAUGGCAUUUUUUUCCCUAGCCAUGGCAAUUCUAUUUUUUAUACGAAGCACGCCAAAUUUAGUAAAAUGGAGUAGAUUUGUCAUACUUGAUGGCAUUUUUCCCCAAAUCAUGGCAAUUAUUUUUAUUAAAAACCAUGGGAAAUUUAUUUAAAUGGAUCAUGGCAAUUUUUUCUGCCGUUGUUGCUAUGGGCAGAAUCCCUACAUAUAGUUGUCAUGGCAAAUACCGCUAAAAAAAGUUGCCAUGGCAAAUUUGUUUGUGACAAUGGCAAACUUUUUUUACCACGGCAAAAAUGUGAAUUUUGCCGUGGCAAAUUCAUUUGAUGUCCCACGGUAAAUUCACUUUCUUGCCCAUGGCGAGUUUCUUUUUUUAAGAGAAUGUCAAACUUUUUUUAGAUUUGCCACACUACAUGACACUUUUUCCCCUGGAACAUGGCAAUUCUAUUUUUUGCGAAGCAUGCCAAAUUUAGUUAAAUGCAUUGUUUUUGGUGAGUACAAAAUUGUCAUAGCAUAUGCAAUUGAUUUGCCAUACUACAUGGCAAUUGUUUCCCCUGACCAUGGCAAUUCUAUUUUAUGAAGUAAGGCAAAUUUAGUAAAAUGGAAUAGAUUUGCCAUACUACAUGGCACUUUUUGAUAUGAAUCUGCCAUAGCAAUUUUCUUGUUCAUAAAAAACAUGACAAUUUUAAUAAAAACACCAUGGCAAUUUUUCAUGUGAAUCUGCCGUCGCAAUUUUUCUUCAUAUUUAAUUUUCAACUUUUUUUCACACACCGCAAAUUCCUCGUACAAAGACAUGGCAAUUUUAAUUAAAACACCAUUCCAAAUUUUCAUAUGAAUCUGCCACGGCAAUUCUAUUGUUUAUACUUAAUUUAACCUCUUUGUAUUUUUUGCACACACGGCAAAUUCCUGAUACAAAUAACACGGUAAUUUUAACUAAAACACCAUGGCAAAUUUUCACCUGAAUCUACCAUGGCAAUUUUGCUCGUAAUUUUUUGUGUUACUUUUACAUACAUGGAAAAUUUCUCAUAAUAAACAUGACAACUGUAAAUUGUAAUUAAAAUAUGAUGAUGUUUUUUUAUUUGAACCAUGGCAAUUUCAUUUCAUAGUAUUGUGUUCUCUUACAUCGCGGCAAAUUUCAUAUACAAACAUGGGGAUUUUAAUCAAAAUAUCAUGUCAUUUUUUCUAAUACGAAUCUGAUGCUUUUUUUUGUUCGUAAAUUUUGUGCUACUUUGCAUACAACGGAAAUUCCUCAUAAAACAUGGUUUUUUAAUUCAAAUAUGACAACAUUUUUUUAUAUGACCAUGGCAAGUUUAUUUUUAUAGUUUUGUCUUUUCUGUACCUAGACGGCAAAUUUUCGCAUACGAACAUGGAGAUUUUAAUUGAAAUAUCAUGUCAAGUUUCUAAUAUAAAUCUGCCAUAUCAAUUUUUGACUUCACUUUUUUUUUAGUGUUUCUCUGUGUAUUUUAACCAACACUUUUCAUUUUUUGUAUUUAUUUCUCAAGGAAAUGUCGUUGUUGGGCUUAUGAGUGCUCGUGGCCCACUAGAGGGGGUCCAACGUAGGAGGUGUUUGCGCUGGGAAACGUUCCCUCAAUGGUGCUGUUUCGUUCGGUCGGGGUGUCCUGGUGCCACACGUGUGGCAGUUUGAAUGUGCGCCCACACAAAAUUGUGUGGGCAGCCUCCUGCUUACACCACACGUGGUGUGUGGGCGGGUGUUGCUCCCACCACACGUGUGGGCGUUAUCGGCGUCCAUCAUGGAUUUUGAGUCGCUCGACUAGUCACGACUAGUCGACGACUAGUCUAUGAGUCACAAAAAUAUGGUCGACUCAGCUUAGUGUCGACUCGCGACUCUGAGUCGCGACUAGUCACAACGCAGGCUCGACUUCUUCCGAGUCGCUGCCCCAGAGCGACUCGCAUGAGUCGCGACUCGAAAACCAUGGCGUCCAUAUAUAAAGACACCAAGAGGGGGAAACGGAGGAGAAGCACCCGUGGUGCAGCGUCAAGGAGAUCCGGCAGACGCGCACCACGUCGAAGGUGGAGCUGGCUACGUUCGAAGCUAUGUGAUGGGCCGACGGCUGCGACGGGGGCGCCGAAGGCGCGCCCUGCGUGUUCGCUGCCACGUGCCGAUCGCAGUGGCGCCAGGCGGAAGCUUCGCGACAGUAGAGAAGAAGAACGUGUCCGCGGGGACGGCGGCAGUGGGAGCACAUUGCCGAUGGCGAGCAGACGCUCGGCGAGAUGAAGAACAGGCAGCAACGCAUGCCUUGCUGACUCACUACUUUGAUAUAUAUGUGUGUGUAUGUUUUCGUCAGUCAGGUUUCACGCGAGAGGCACGCGGCACGGCUCGCGCACUAGGAGGGACCAGCCACCGCAACGAAGGGAGACCCAGGAGAUGCGCGCCCGUGGAGGUGGCGUUCAGAAGAUCGGGAUGGAUAUGCCACCCAGCAAGAGAUGACGUCUGCAGCUGCGGCAGCGGUGCGGCCGAUCAGAUGAUGCCCACAUCUGUUUGUUUGUUUCUUUCUCUCAAUGUUUUAUCAGGUUUCGUGGGAGGCGCUCGCACCCUCGACGAGACGCACAUAUGGUGGCAGCAUCGGGAGAGACCGCAGAAAGAGAAGGAGAGAGAACUCACCACAUCGCAGCUAGCCGGCGGAAGAGCACGUCGCAGCAACCCACCGAUGCAGCCAACGCAUCAAGACGCACGCAGUGUCGUGUCUCAUUGAGGCAAGAGAUGUGCCCUGGCGGCAGUGUCGAGGUAUCGAGGAGAAAGGACGCACCCGUGGCGGUGGCACGUGCGCCGAGCAUCGGUGUGGCAGCCGCGAUGCACAGAUGAGGAUGUACUCCAAGCGGAAUGACCUCUGCACGACGCGCCUAUCAGAGGUGGCCGAGGACGAUGCAACGCUCUUCUCAGAAGCAGUUGAGGAGGCGAAUGAUGCGUCCAACCAAGGUGGCCGCGAAGGAAGAUGCGCUCUUCUUGUACAUGUGUUGUCGAGGCGGCGGACGACGCGCCCAGCGGAGGUGGCCGCGGAUGAAGAGGCGCUCUUCUCGUACCAGGUGUUGUCGAGGCGGCGGAUGACGCGCCCAACGGAGGUGGCCGCAGACAAAGCGGCGCGCUUUCUCGUACCAGAUGCAAUGAAGACGGCGGCGCCCUCGCACACAUGGAUGCAUGUUAGAACAAGGAGGUCAUCGCCCACUUCUUCAACCCCGAUGACAAGGAGACAAGGAGCUUGCCACAGCCACUGCCAUCAAGCCGGUGCCGCAGAAGAUGGUGUCGUGGACCUUGAGGGAUGUUGUCGGCAUCCACUUCGUCAAGAUGGUGCCUCGAUGGAUGGCGACACGGAGCUCGCCCGGAUGAUGCUCCGUCGUCUUCUUCACCAAGACGGUGCCAUAGAGGACGGAGGCAUGGAGCCCGAAGAUGCCGCCAUCGUGCCAUGGAUGAUGGAGGCGCGGAGCUCGCCAAGAUGACGCCCAUUAUCAACAUCAUCAAGCCGGUGCUGUGGUGGACGGAGGCGUGGAGCUCACGGGACGACACCACCGAUGUCUUCCUCAUCAAGACGAGGCCCACAAACCGGAGUCCAUGAAGAUGACACACGCCCCCGGUGUUGUCUGCAACACGCAGCCCGCGAUACGAAGAAGAUGGUGCUAUGCGAUGACACGUUUUCACUGACCCUUACCACGAUCCCGUGAUGUGUUUCCUUUGUCUUGGCGGACCACCGAAUACGGCGUCCAACCGAGACGAGGGGCACUCUUCUUGGCGUACAGGUCUCGGCAUACAGGCAUCAUGCUCCUUGUCUUAGCAGACCACCGAAUAUGGCGUCUAGCUAGGACGAGGCAUUAACCAUGCCCUUCCAUGAUGUCACUUUUCUUCGGCACCGUGAUGCUUUGCCCUUGUCUUGGUGGACCACCGAAUACGGUGUCCAGCCGAGACAAGGUGCACUCUUCAUGGCAUAAAGGUUUCACCGUACAGGCGGUGUGCUCCUUGUCUAGCAGACCACCGAAUACGGCAUCUAGCUGAGACGAGGCAUCAACACGCCCCUCUAAGACGUAACCUCUCACGGCCUUGUGAGGCGGAGUCUUUGUCUCCGCAGAUUGCCGUAACCUCGGCCCCUAGUCGAGACGAGACGCCAACCACACUGGCCAUGCCGAUGCGUGUGUGCGUUGGUUUUACACUAACGACAGUCUCCACAAAAGAAUACUCCCGCGAGGCAACC